CCAAGAGCAGCGCUAUUGCUCUCCCUCAGUGCUCCCAGGUGCUCCUGGCCAGCAGAAUGCAGAGGCUGGGUUAUAAAUGCCUGGUGAGCACAGUGCUGGGAGUGGGUCUGUGGUGUUUGUGUAGGGAUAGUGCUGUUGUGUGUGCUUUACUGCAUGAAGGAUGUGUGGCUCAGCUUUGUGCUGCUGUGACUGGAGCUGGGCUUGGCUUUCUGACAGGGGCUUCUUGGGGGUGAGAGCUGAGCACGGGGGGAUCCCAGCAGCAGUGCCUGGGGCCACCCCACCUCAGCUGCUCACCUGUCUCUGUGCAGGUGAUGGAACACCAGAGUUGUGCUUUCUGGCGGCAGCCCUUGUGCUUCUGGAGGUGCCUGUGGGGAAGUACUGCUUUCCUCUGUGCUGUUGUUGCCAUUCUGCCAUUUGCUGCAUGCGCUUGUGUUUUUCUGAGCUCUGGCUUCACUGCACAGUUCCCAGUAACUAGAGGGGUUUGCUGCCUGAGGCAGGGCCACAGCCUUGGGAUUUUCCCUCUUUGAAGCACUCUUUCCUGGUUUUUGUUUCUUUGUGUCUUCAGGAUUUUUGUGCAUGCUCGGGGCUCUUCCUUCACCCAUGCUAUCCCUAUGGCUGAGACCCACAGCGGGGCUGUGGGGCUGUGUCUUCCUCCUCCCAGGAGCUCAGCCCCAGCAGCACAGGGCAGCUCUGUGGGGCUCCCCUGGAAGCAUGGGGUCUUGUGAAGCAGUGCUUAUUGAGCAAGGGAGUGUGGAGCUCUGCCUCUGAAAUGCUUUGUGGCUUGCUGCUGACAUGUUCUUCUGCUACACAUAAAAGCUCUGGUCCUGCCCUUUUUGCCACCUUUCCUCAGAAUCACUGAGAUGCUAUAACUUUCUUCAACGCAAGGACAUGUGGUGCAGUAGUACUUAGCAGGGAGAGGAGAGGUGAAAUAGGGUUCUUUAAGUGAACGGCAUGCUCCUGUUUGUUGCAGCAGAGCCUGGCUUCUGCUUUACCACAUCAUCCAGAGAUGCAGAAGGUGUAGGGUGGAUCCACGUGGACUCAGGAGGCAUCAAUGGUCCCAGUGCAGGAGCCCUAGGACAGAGCAUGGGAUGGAUGGCCACAGUGUGCGCACACUCACAAUACUGCUGUGAUCCCACGUGAUGCUGGAAGGUGCCCACAGGUGGAGGUGCUGCACAUGAGCAGCAACUACAUUGAUGUUCUCAUGGUUGGAGCUGCAGUCUGCUCCCAGCCACCACGCACGGAGCACCUGCAUAGGGCACUGCACGUGGCAGUGGAUUCCUGCUGUCCCACCAUUCCCUGAGAAGCCCCAGUCCAUGGGCACAAUGCCUGUCCUGUCCAGGGGUGCUGCUAUGUCUCCAUGGCACAUUGGGUGCUUGCAGGCUACCCCCUGUGCAGUUCAGGCAUGGGGCUUUGCUGGCAGAGAGUACAUGCAAAAUGGUAGCGGCUUGUCUUGCUUUGUGGGAUCGGAGUGAUGAGGUUAUCUUCUCCCUGGGGCAAGGAGAAGGAUGGGACAGGCCCACUGUGUGACAGCGAGUGGUGGCAGCUGUCUCCAUGGCUGGGUCCCUGCAGCUGGCAGCGCCCUGUGCUGCUGCUGUUGGAGAGCUGUGCUGGGUGCGCUCAGCAGCGCAGGGAAGUGCCGCGUGUGGCAAUGGGAUGGGGCUCAGGGCAGGUGCAGCUGCUGCUGUGCUGCUUGCAAGUGCCCCUCUGGGAGCACAGGCUGUGGCUGUCACCGUGCUGUGCUGGAAUGAAACUCUUGCGGUGCUGUGGGCCCCUGCAGCACAGACGCAAUGGAGAGCAGCCAAAGGCAGCAUGGGACCAGGCUGAGCCGCAGCAGUGACAGCCCUGUGCAGGCUGCCAGGGGGUGUGGGGCUGGGCUGCCCCUGCUGUGGGGAACCUGUGGAGCAGCACAGGGAGGACAGUUUCCUCCUCUUGCUCACAGGCAGUGAUGGUUAACGUGGCAUGCAGAUAUUUCCUCAUUUAGCGCCGUAUUUACUGUGGUAAUACCACUGUCUUCUCCCCUGUUAGGUCUUAGAACCUUCCUCUUUGUGCGUGCAGGGGUGUCCGAGUGCUGGUGAGACUUUUCCCAGUGUUUACACAAAAAUCAACCUUUUCUUAUGCCAGCAGCGAGGCCCACAUGUGACCCCAUGGGAUAUCUUUCCCUCCUGCUUUUACUUCCUACUCUCUUCAGCACGCAGAGCCCCCUCCAACUCCAUUAGACAUUGGCUGCAGCUGUCUUCCUCCUGCCGCUCUCAGCAAUGCAGGGGUGGUACGGGCAGUGGGACACAGCCUGGCUGAAUCCCCUGUGUGCACAACUGCGUGCAUCCCUGCCUGCUGCUGCCAGCACCUUCGUCAGGAGAAGCACCACAGCGCUUGCUCCAAGGAAGCGAAAAUGAGUAAAGCACAACAAAACAUUUCUCAGCAAAAUGUGCAGGUGGAAACAUGUCUUCAAAGAGCUGCAGUGCAGUUCACCACCACCUCUCUAUCUGUCCUCGUUUGUACACAUCCUCUGUUGUUGCAAUAGACCUAAAGCAACAUGCUACACUCCUUAGGGCAAGGCUGUCUGCCUUUGUUCUGCAAACCUCCAGUAUGCUUCCAACAGCAUUUGGCGCUUCCUGAUGCGCAGAGGGGGUGCAGACUGGUUGUGUGCUGGGAGAACACGCUGCUAAACCCAGUGGACAGAAGGCUAAAGGGGUAACCCAAGUGAGAAUGCAGGUCGUGGAGCUUGGUGAUCUCACUGUUGUGUGCAGGAUCGCUGUUGUGCCUUUAGCAGGAUGGAGCCCAGUGUGGUGCUGUGAGCAGGGCUUGGCACAGCCUGCAGUGUGCUGGUGGCCACAGGGCUGCUCCUGGAAGGAACUGCAUGGGAAUUCUGGGCCUGCUGUGGGUCCGUGGCACUGUGACUGCGCUGCACAUAACUGCGUGUGAGAGCUGCUCUGCUCAGCUGCUGAUGUGGCAGUGGUGCUCUCAUCGCUGCUUUCAACUUUGUUUCCUGUUUGAUUGUUCUCUUAAUCAGAAGAAAAUGAACUCCAAUUAAGGUACCUUAUAAAGUGUGGUUCGUGGCAAUUAGGACCUCUGCUGUGCCUUUGAACAGCAGAGCUGCGGAGGCUGCUUGGUGCAGGACGAGUCAGGGAAAGAGGUGGAUGGGGCUCCCAGGUACAUGCAGCGAGCGCACGGUCUGAUGAGUGCAGAUCUGUGUUCCUACAAUGUGAGCUCCUCCUGUUGGGGUGGGGCAGGCGGUGGCACGGGCACUGCAUGGUGCUUGAGAAUGCAGAGGUGUGCCCAGCUGCACUCACAUGGGCGCGUUGCUGCAUGUCCCUGGCAUAGCGUGCAGCACCACGGGGAGGCACAGGGGCACCUCUGUACUUGGGCCCCUCCUGGUGCUGCACGGCCAACUCCUAAUAAACAUAAUAAAUGGGUGUACUGAGAAUGUUAAGCUAUAAAGCUCUGGUUGUGAACGAUAAGUAAUAGCCUUGGCAGGACGCUCCACUCAGGUUCCAGCCAAUGCAACUGCCUUCAGCAGCAGAAAUGCACUGAAAUGCUGGAGCUUGAAAGGGAGAGCUUUCACCUGCUGCACGCGCUUGGUGUGAACAGGUGUCAGGAGAUCUCUGAGCGCUGCCAGCAGUUGAUCCAUUGAUGCAUUUUGUACUAAACACGCCGAUCCUUUCCCUGCAAAAUGAAAGGCAAGCCCUGCUCGGGAGGGGCCCUGUGGGGCUGGUGGAGGCCCGGGAACUGCAGCCCCCCCAGAGCUGCUCCUGCUGCCCCACAGCCCCGUCCGUGCCCCCUGGAGGGAGCUCCAAUGGAGAGUGGGACUGAAGCCCAGAGCCUGCAGGAACUGCCAAUAGAGGCUGAAAGCAAAAGAGGAUGAAAUCUUAAUUGGAUCUCCAGUGCCCUGCAGAGAAACGCAUUUGGAUUAAAAUGAAACGGAGCUUUGUACUCUCAGGGUUUCAGAGCCAGAAUGGAAGAGGAAUUAUUCCUGAUUCCUAUUUGUGAGACAGGAUAGCUUUUUCUGUGAACUUCUCUUUGUGAAUGUUCCUCUUGUCAGAACCGGGGGUGAGCUGCGGGUCGGUGCCUUGGCACAGCCCAGGCUGCAGGGCACAGUGGGCGCUGCCCGUUCGCUCCGGUGACCCCGCUCGCCCCAUUCAUUUUCUGCAGGCCCGUCCCCAUCCACCAGAGCUCUGCAGAACUUGCCAUGCAUUUCAGUGUUUUCUCUUCGUGAACUUGUAUCAAUAUUUAACACAGCAGUGUCAGUUUUGCUGUAAGAUGAGAGGAGCUAUGAGAAACCUGAAUUAUACAUGGUGCGGCGGGGGGUUGGGGAGCUUUCUCUGAGCCGAGCUCCGGGGCCCGCAGCGCAGCCCCGCAGCCAUGGACGAGCCCCAGCAGCAGCCCGGCCAGAAGCACGAGGGGCGGCCCCGCAAAGUGCGCUUCCGGAUCUCGUCGGCGUGCAGCGGCCGCGUGCUGAAGCAGGUGUACGAGGACGGGCAGGCGCUGGAGCCGCCGGCCGUGGAGCAGUCCCGACGGCUGCGGCACAGCUUUGAGCCGGGGGUGCUGCCCGAGGGCCCCGCGCUGGGACUGCCGCGGGGCGGCGGCUGCGGGGAGGAUGGGAGCGGCCCCGGCUGUCCCCCCGUUGGCAGCGGGCUCUAUGGGGCUUCCCCGGUUAUCGACUUUGGUCAGAUCAUCAUCUACACUAACAACCUGAAAAUCAUCCGUGCGCCAAUGGACCAGAGAGAGCUCAUGAGAAGGAUUGUCCAGACAGAGGGAGUGAGCGACUGGGCCUUUGUGUACCGGGAAAGGAGAGAAAGAAUUGGCGCUGGACACAAGAAAGAUGUGGAAAAGAAGGUUAUCUGCAACCAGUACAUGCAGGAAAGAGAUUCUGAGCGCACUUGCUCCCAGUGUAAAGGAUCGGGCUCUGCUCCUUGCUCGCUGUGCCAUGGCAGCAAGUUUUCAAUGCUGGCAAACAGAUUCAAGGAAUCCUACAGGGCUCUGCGGUGCCCAGCCUGCAACGAGAGCGGCGUGCAGCCCUGCCAGAUCUGCGCUGCGUGACGGAGCUGCACCGCCCACCAGCACUGCACCGAGUGCGAGCAAGGUCCUUGCAGCCCCGUCUCCUCGGUAGCAGGGCUGUGGGAAGCCCCUGCACACCCUCACAAGCGCUGCUCCUGCUGCAGUUCCCUGUUCCUGCACGACGAGCAGUAAUGUUUGCACUGUGCAUUUCUAUCCCGGUAUGCCAGUCCCAUGGAUGAGCAUGUCAUGGCUGUAGAAACAGCGGAAGAGAAAACAGGAGAAGAAGUACCUGUGUUGUUUCCUGGGAACAGCAUAUCUUCAUUGCCAUCGGAAUUCCGUGGCCGUUAUCUGAUCUUCGCUGGUACCAUUUUAUUGAGGAGAGAGAAUUCAACGUGUGAAGGUGGGGGAAAAAGAAGAAGACUGUAGACUGGAAUGCUGAUUGUGAAAAUCACAGAGAAACAAAUGUAAGCUUGAGAACGGCACCUUCUUGUGAAUUUGUGCUACCAUCCCUAGAGACUACGCAUUGCAUCGGGGAACGCGGAGCACCACACAGAAAUGGCCCUGGCUGCUGUGAGGAGCCCGGUGCCUCGCCGGCCCAUUGCUCUGUGUCUGCUCCGGGAGGCACGAGCACGGCCGAGCACUGCUCACUGCUGUGAGCUGGACUUCACCGCGCCAAAAUGAAGCUCAGCUUCAGCACUGGAGCGGGGUUGCUGCUUCCUGCUCGAGUCAACAUUGCUCAUUAUUUCAGCCCUGAUGGCGGUGUUGGAAGUGUUUGGUUAUGAUGCUCCCGCCAGUGUAAUUAUACCCAGUUGUAAGGACAUGCCUCAAUAGAAGUUUUAAAUUACGUACAUAUGAAUUCUUUCAGGAAGCGUUUCUCUCUGGUUGUGUCUGAGCAGAGGAGGACAGCUGUGGGGGGAUCAGCAAGGUGCAGAAGUGCCCAGCCGAGAGCAUCUCCUUUGUAUUUCCUCCUCCUGUGACACAUGCACCAGUACAGCGCUAGUUCGGACUUGUGUGAAGCUCAGAGGAGUGCAGACCCGCUCUGGUGCUGCUGACAGGAACCCUCCCAGCCGCCCUGAGCUCAGCGCUGGCCCUCGGUGGAACUCAGGAGCUGGCAGCGUGGUGCGGUGGGCUGGGGUUGGGCGAGCCUGGUGCAAGCCAUCCCGAUGAACCUGCUCUGUGCUACUACAGGGAACAGAACUCCCCAGCGUCCUGCAUGGUUUGUUUGAGCUGACUGCUGUGAGUUUGGAGUCUGAGUGCCGAACACCAAAUAUUUAUGAAAUGUAAUGGCCAAGACUAAAUACAUUCAGUAACAUCUUGAUUCUUCUUAAGUUACUGCUUUGAAUGCCUGAGAAAACUCUCAAAUGACUGCUAUUCCAACUGCCGUGUACCAUUCUAAGACUAAUGGUUUUAUUCCUGCACUGCUCUGGCUUCUGAGAUGAGGACAGUAAGCACUUGUGUUCUCUCUCCACCGUGGAAGCAGCAGUUGUGUGUGGCCAACACCGGCCCAAUAGGAUCCGGUCUCUUCCCAACAGUUCCCACCUGUGCGCUGCGGGAGCCCCACACCGGGUUCUGCCUCCCCUGGGAGCAGGGGAUCCCGAGCCCAGGGCUCCUCCCGGCCCGCGCUGCAGCCCAGUGCCUGCGCUCACUGCUGCUGGGGAGCGGCCUGAAGCCACGUGCAGGGAACGGCGGGCAUGGUGCUGACAUGACGAACUCAGAAGUUGAGAAAAUCAGUAUUUGAUUCCCUUCAUUACUGUAUUACAGCUAAUCUGCGAACAUUUCCAUUAAAAAGUCCUGUUCUCA